rnacentral:lncRNA from 1 species
ACCCUUAACGGUGACCCCGCCCCGCCCAAAAUUAAACCUUAGGGUUUUAUAUGUGUUGUCCCCCCCCCCCAAAUAACCCUUUAGGGUUCCCCCCCCCCAAAUUAACCCUUAGGGUUUAUAUGUGUGCCUCCCCCCCAAAUUAACCCUUAGGGUUUUAUACGUGUGCCCGCCCCCCGUCCCCAAAAUUAACCCUUAGGGUUUAUAACCGUAUAUACGUAUAUAGUAUAUAUGUAUAUAUUGGGUUUAUAUGUGUGUCCCCCCCCCAAUCCAACCUUAUGACCCAUGUAUGGGGUGGGGGGGUCCCUUAGCGGGCUGUAUAUGUAUAUAUUGGGUUUAUAUGUGUCCCCCCCCCAAUCUAACCUUAUGACCCAUGUAUGGGGUGGGGGGGUCCCUCUAAGGCGGGCAUGUAUAUGUAUUAUAUUGGGGUUUAUAUGUGUCCCCCCCCCCAAUCUAACCUUAUGACCCACAUGUAGGGGUGGGGGGUCCCUUAGCGGGCUGUAUAUGUAUAUAUUCGGGUUUAUAGUGUGUGUCCCCCCAUCUAAACCGGCCCGCAUCUAUGGG